AAUAGAUACCCCGGUAGUCCACGCCGUAAACGAUGAGUGCUAAGUGUUAGGGGGUUUCCGCCCCUUAGUGCUGCAGCUAACGCAUUAAGCACUCCGCCUGGGGAGUACGGCCGCAAGGCUGAAACUCAAAGGAAUUGACGGGGGCCCGCACAAGCGGUGGAGCAUGUGGUUUAAUUCGAAGCAACGCGAAGAACCUUACCAGGUCUUGACAUCUCCUGACCGCCCUGGAGACAGGGUCUUCCCUUCGGGGACAGGAUGACAGGUGGUGCAUGGUUGUCGUCAGCUCGUGUCGUGAGAUGUUGGGUUAAGUCCCGCAACGAGCGCAACCCUUGUCCUUAGUUGCCAGCAUUCAGUUGGGCACUCUAAGGAGACUGCCGGCUAAAAGUCGGAGGAAGGUGGGGAUGACGUCAAAUCAUCAUGCCCCUUAUGACCUGGGCUACACACGUGCUACAAUGGGCGGUACAGAGGGUCGCGAACCCGCGAGGGGGAGCCAAUCCCAAAAAACCGCUCUCAGUUCGGAUUGCAGGCUGCAACUCG
rnacentral:rRNA from 1 species